rnacentral:rRNA from 1 species
UACGAAGGGGGCUAGCGUUGUUCGGAAUUACUGGGCGUAAAGGGUGCGUAGGCGGGUCUUUAAGUCAGGGGUGAAAUCCUGGAGCUCAACUCCAGAACUGCCUUUGAUACUGAGGAUCUUGAGUUCGGGAGAGGUGAGUGGAACUGCGAGUGUAGAGGUGAAAUUCGUAGAUAUUCGCAAGAACACCAGUGGCGAAGGCGGCUCACUGGCCCGAUACUGACGCUGAGGCACGAAAGCGUGGGGAGCAAACAGG